ensembl:lincRNA
UCCAUACCUCAUCAGCUGGCUCCAAGGCAGAAAUAUGGCAGAAGGGCAUUUUGUAGAAAGCUGCUUAUUCAAUAGCAGGCGGGAAGCAGAGAGUGCAAGAACCAGAGAGGAAGGAAGAGGCUGGGAACAGCAUAUAAGGGCACAGCUCCGGUGGCCCACUUCCUACAGCGCGGCCCCACCGCCCCGGAGCCCAUUCGGCUAUGAACUCAUCUGUGGGUCAGUCCAUUGGUGAGGUCAGCAUCCGCAUGAUCUAAUCACUUCUCUGGACCCCACUGCUGAGCUUUGCUAUACUGGAGAUCAAGCCCUCAAUAGGAGUCUUUGGGGAACAUUUCAUAUAUAGAGGUCAGAGAGAUGUGUUAGGGGAACAUGGUGAUUUCCCCUACAAUCCCCCUAUUUGUAGUUUCACUUUCCAUACUUUCAGUGACCCUUGGCCAACCUGGCUCCACAAUCCUCCUUCUGACAUAUGGUCAAAGCCUAUGCCACAUCGUCUGCGUCAUUCAUCUCAUUUUAUCUCAUCAGGCAGGCACUGCAUCAUUUCACAUCCUCACAAGAAGGCUUCCCUGGAUCCAGGUGGAGACUCUUGGAAGACUGGUGGGAUAGAGUAGGGUCAGCUCUAGGAGAUGCCUCUACACCCCUACACACUAAGAGUGGGUUUGGAGUCCUGCUUGCUGCUUUGGACACCUACCUGGGUCCUGAGACCAGGAUCACUUGGGAAGAGGAGGAGCCUCUCCAUAUAUGAUGGCAAGGUGGCUGUUCUCAUCCUCAGUUACACACAGGCAACCAAGGCUCAGAGACUGAGUUCUUCCUGCCACUUGAGUCAGAUUCAAUUCCUGAUGUGUGUUCCUUGUAUGAGAUCGUUCAGUAAAGUAAGUACCUGCCUGUGUUAUUGGCUUCACAAACCUGAAAUUUUCCAUGUUGGAUUUUAUGCCCAAAGUGAAAUGAACUAAGUUGCCAGGACCUAAAAUGAUGUGUAUAUGGCUUUGAGGAAUCUUGCUAAAAGACUGAAUAUUUUUCUACAGCAUAAAAGAGAAUAAAUGACUAGAAAUUUCCUCCUAAGCUGUGUUUUUUCCUUACCUCCAGAUAAAUGCCCUUUCUUUCUUUUUCUUUUUUUUUUUUUUUUGCAGUACCGGGGAUUGAACUCAUGACCUUGCACUUGCCAGGCAGGCACUUAUGCCACUGAGCUAUAUCCCCAGCCCUGUGCCUUUUCUUUUUUAAAUUUAUUUUUAUUACUAAACGUUCCCAGUAUUUAAUGAUUACUGUAUUCAUUGUGGGUAGUUGGUCAUGUACAAAUGCUCUUUCUGGGACAGUGAUUUACACACUUUUUUGAGUUUCAGACUCACCCGGAGGGUGUGUUGAAAAGGACUGCUAGAUCUCACUCCCAGGGGUUCUGAAGCAACAGGCCUGUUGAAGCCAGAGAACUGCAUUUUAAUCAACCCACUGGUGGUGCUGAUGCUGCUGGAUCAGAGUCCUCACUUUGAGAACCACAGUUCUACAGGGUUUUUUCCUAUGUAUGCUCUAAUUGUGUCUAUCUUUGUAUUCCUACAUAUAUGCACAAUAGCUUAAUAAAAAUGGACCCAUGUGUUACUCAUA